CUCCGGCUUAAAUCACUGCUGAGUUUUUGCAAAGCACUCUGCUCGGAGGGUCCCAGAUCUGUAUAUAAUGUUUAAAUAUUAAUUGGGAAACAGCCGGCAGCGCAGGUGUUCUUCCUCCUCUCCCUUCCCAUGCCUCCCUCGUGGGGCUGCUCUCCUCCGACUCACCGAGUAUUUCCGACAGCAUUCGGCUGCACGCAGUCAGCUGGGAGGGCUGCAGGACGUGCGUCUGAGCACAAAGGAAAUGUGCAAAGGGUCACCGUUGGCCCCAACCUCCUGCAGGAAGAAGCAGCAUCCCUGGGGGAGCAGCCCUGUGGCUCCAGCACACGCUGCAAACCCCUUUCUGCAGGAGCUGCUUCAACACUGGGAAAGCCGCAUGCGCUCCCCUCCGGGCUGAUAUCUGAGCGUGCUUGGAGCAAGGCUGCACUGGGAGGGAUGGAUUCCAGAUGUUCGCGUGUCACGUGGGAGCGGUUGGUUUUACAAGCAAGAGAGUUCCCUGAGUAUCUGAUUUUGGCAGCGAUCUCCACUUUUGUCUAAAGAGAAACUGCACAGGAAGUUAGAAAGCACGAGACAAGCGGUAUUCUUGGGUCCUGUGCUUUUCCCAUGUUUGACAAGCUCUGGCCCUGCAUGUGGUCAUCCAGGAGCAAGUUAGAAUCAUAGAAUCAUAGAAUCACAGACUCAUAGAAUCAUAGAAUCAUUAAGGCUGGAGAAGACUUCUAAGAUCCCCAAAUCCCAGUCCCAGCCCACCCCCCCAUGUCCACUGCCCACGUCCCUCAGUGCCACAUCUCCACAGCUCUGGGACACCCCUAAGGAUGAUGACCCCCACUCCCUGGCAGCUGUGCCACUGCCUGACUGCUCUUUGGAGAAGGAAUUGUUCCUCAUAUCCAACCUGAACCCAGCUUGAGUUAGAGCCAGCUGGUGCCCAGCCCACACCAUUGCUUCCCUGGAGCCCAUCAGCUGCUGCAAGCAGUCAGCGGUGUGGACAAAACAAAGCAGCAGGAGCUUGCUUCAUAGAAAUGGGGCUUGUAGCCCUGAAGGGGCCCUCGUGAGAAAUGCACGUUAACCAAGCAAUUCUUCUCUCUGCAUUUAUGUAACGUUAGCUGUAAUAUGAGACAUUAAAAAAAAAUCAAUUAUUUGACAAAGAAAUAAACCUAGGAGAAUAAUGUUUGCUCAAUAUAUCACUUCCUUGAAUGAAAUUCACUUUGCCAGGGCCAAGGCAUUAAAAAUACAUUAAAAUAUUUCAAUAUAAAUAGAAUGAGUGGGUUUUACAUUCUUCCCAAACCGCAAAUUCGUAACUUCAUUUGCAUAGGAACUUCUGAGUUCUUUGAUCACUAUUGUAACUGAGCGUACAUAAAAGGAGUGUGCAGAAAAUAAAUGCAGAAAAGUAGAACUGUGGAAAGGAAAAAUGUCAACUGUGGAUAACAGAAACUAGAGACAGUGCAGCAAUGCACAGGUCAGGGCUGACUGCUCUUCACAGCAUGGUUCUGGAUGUUGUGCAGCACUGUCCUGAUGUUGUGUAGGCUUCGAGCUCUUGGCUGUGUCAC
ensembl:lncRNA